GGUUGCUGAGUGGGUGGAGAAGGCCUUGGGCGGAGCCGCCUCCUCCCUCUUCCUGAGUCACUGUGUGGGUCUUCAGCAGGCCUCUGCUGCCUCUGGCCUUGGGCUUUGCCACCUUUGGAGAGAGGGACGCUUCCGCGCCACGGGAUGGAGAAGCCGCUAAGGCUGAUGUGACCCAAGCCAAGCGGCCACGGCCAAGAGUACUGGGCGCUGUGCGGGGACUCCCAUUUCGUCCCUGGAGAACACGUGCUCCUGCGGGAGCAGUCAGCCCCGGGGGGCAUCUUUCCAGCCCAGCUGCCGGUCCCCUCUUCUGACCCCAGCCGCGUGCCCCUGGCAGAAAUUCCAGUUCAUCUCAGCUCUCCACACCCAAGAAAAAGCAGAAAAGACAAAGCACUUAAAAAAAAAAAGAAGAAGAAGGACGCUUUGAGUCAGAGACAACUGAAUUAACUUUAUUCUCUUCUAACUGCAGAUUCAAGAAACACUGAAAUUACAAAGAAACGCAUCAAUCUACACGAAACAAGGCAGAUGCGGAAAGCUGCAACCAGGACAACUCUGAGUGAACUGCUUCAGAGAACAGGAAGAACUGGCAAGCAGGACCUGGGGGUGGGGGGCGCGGGGUGGCAAGAGGAAGGGAGGGAAGAGGGGGUGACCAGGAGAGG